AAGCAAUAAGACUAGUAAGUCGCUCUGGAUAAGAGCGUCUGCUAAAUUACUUAAA
rfam:Salmo salar isolate Sally breed double haploid chromosome ssa02, whole genome shotgun sequence.